AAUUUAAUAGUUCAGAUAGGUGUCGGUUGUAAUCAAAGGUAUUAUAAACCGGUGAAAAGGAAAGAUGGGUGAAAAUCCCACACGGUCCCGCCGCUGUAAGAGAGGAGUCCCUCUGAGAAUGCCACUGAAUAAUCGGGAAGGCAAGAGGUGAUUAUGAUGCUUGAGUCAGAAGACCUGCCUGUUUUAAUACCAGUUAC
rnacentral:ncRNA from 20 species